UAUAUAAAUAAUAAUACAAUUAUGGUAUAGUGUUGAGGUAUAUAUGAGAAAAGAAUAUAUAUAUAUAUAGAGUGAGGCUACUAUGCUUCUGAGAGCACGGAGUCUUCUGUACUUUCAGGUUGUUUUUAAUGUUGCGACUUUCGAAUCGUCGAUCGGCUCCGUUAAACUUGAUCUAGAGUAUUUGAAAUACCUAGAAAAUAAAUUUUGCAAUUUUUCGAUAUCAUUUGCCUGGUGAAUUAAGGGGCUCAAAAUCAACGACUGAAAAUAAAAAUCUUACAAAACGUGAUAAUAUGAUAUUAAAAUUUUAGAUCAAAGAUAUUGAUUUUGUUUUAUAUAGUAUAAAGAAUUUUCUAUCAAAAUUUCACGUGAUUUGGAUAUUUCUAUAUCGUUAAACUUGCAAACGACUCACCACGGCCAUUAAAAUUAUUGAUUUUGAGUCCUUCGAUCACUAGGCAAAUGAUAUCGAAAAAUCAUAAAAUUUAUUUUCUAAGUACUUCAAAUACUCUAGAUCAAGUUUAAUGAGCCGAUCGACGAUUCGAAAGUCACAACAUCGAAAACGACCUGGAAGCACGCUAGGCUCCGUGCUUCCAGAAGCAUAGCAGCCUCUCUCUCUCUCUCUCUCUCUCUCUC
rnacentral:lncRNA from 1 species